GGCGCAAGCCUGAUGGAGCAACACCGCGUGAGUGAAGAAGGGUUUCGGCUCGUAAAGCUCUGUUGUUGGAGAAGAACGUGCGUGAGAGUAACUGUUCACGCAGUGACGGUAUCCAACCAGAAAGUCACGGCUAACUACGUGCCAGCAGCCGCGGUAAUACGUAGGUGGCAAGCGUUAUCCGGAUUUAUUGGGCGUAAAGCGAGCGCAGGCGGUUGCUUAGGUCUGAUGUGAAAGCCUUCGGCUUAACCGAAGAAGGGCAUCGGAAACCGGGCGACUUGAGUGCAGAAGAGGACAGUGGAACUCCAUGUGUAGCGGUGGAAUGCGUAGAUAUAUGGAAGAACACCAGUGGCGAAGGCGGCUGUCUGGUCUGCAACUGACGCUGAGGCUCGAAAGCAUGGGUAGCGAACAGGAUUAGAUACCCUGGUAGUCCAUGCCGUAAACGAUGAGUGCUAGGUGUUGGAGGGUUUCCGCCCUUCAGUGCCGGAGCUAACGCAUUAAGCACUCCGCCUGGGGAGUACGACCGCAAGGUUGAAACUCAAAGGAAUUGACGGGGGCCCGCACAAGCGGUGGAGCAUGUGGUUUAAUUCGAAGCUACGCGAAGAACCUUACCAGGUCUUGACAUCUUGCGCUAACCUAAGAGAUUAGGCGUUCCC
rnacentral:rRNA from 2 species